UACGAAGGGGGCUAGCGUUGCUCGGAAUUACUGGGCGUAAAGGGCGCGUAGGCGGCACUGUUAGUCAGGCGUGAAAGUCCUGGGCUCAACCUGGGAACUGCGCUUGAUACGGCAGAGCUAGAGGAUGGAAGAGGGUCGCGGAAUUCCCAGUGUAGAGGUGAAAUGCGCAGAUAUCAGGAGGAACACCGGUGGCGAAGGCGGGUCUCUGGGCCGAAACUGACGCUGGAGGAGCGAAAGCGUGGGGAGCAAACAGG
rnacentral:rRNA from 1 species